UUGCCAUCAUUAAGUUGGGCACUCUAGCGAGACUGCCGGUAAUAAACCGGAGGAAGGUGGGGAUGACGUCAAAUCAUCAUGCCCCUUAUGACCUGGGCUACACACGUGCUACAAUGGUUGGUACAACGAGUCGCAAGCCGGUGACGGCAAGCUAAUCUCUUAAAGCCAAUCUCAGUUCGGAUUGUAGGCUGCAACUCGCCUACAUGAAGUCGGAAUCGCUAGUAAUCGCGGAUCAGCACGCCGCGGUGAAUACGUUCCCGGGCCUUGUACACACCGCCCGUCACACCACGAGAGUUUGUAACACCCGAAGUCGGUGAGGUAACCUUUUAGGAGCCAGCCGCCUAAGGUGGSAUAGAUGAUUGGGGUGACGUCGUAACAAGGUAGCC
rnacentral:rRNA from 1 species